GUAGGGUGCGAGCGUUGUCCGGAAUUAUUGGGCGUAAAGAGCUCGUAGGCGGCCUGUUGCGUCUGCUGUGAAAGCCCGGGGCUUAACCCCGGGUCUGCAGUGGAUACGGGCAGGCUAGAGUUCGGCAGGGGAGACUGGAAUUCCUGGUGUAGCGGUGAAAUGCGCAGAUAUCAGGAGGAACACCGGUGGCGAAGGCGGGUCUCUGGGCCGAAACUGACGCUGAGGAGCGAAAGCGUGGGGAGCGAACAGGAUUAGAUACCCUGGUAGUCCACGCCGUAAACGUUGGGCGCUAGGUGUGGGGUCCCUUCCACGGGUUCCGUGCCGCAGCUAACGCAUUAAGCGCCCCGCCUGGGGAGUACGGCCGCAAGGCUAAA
rnacentral:rRNA from 1 species